rnacentral:rRNA from 1 species
UACGGAGGGUGCGAGCGUUGUCCGGAAUCAUUGGGCGUAAAGCGCACGUAGGCGGUGGGGUAAGUCUUGUGGUGAAAGCCCGGGGCUCACCCCCGGAAGUGCAUUGGAAACUGGUGGACUCGAGUCCCGGAGAGGAGAGUGGAAUUCCUGGUGUAGCGGUGAAAUGCGUAGAUAUCAGGAGGAACACCGGUGGCGAAGGCGGCUCUCUGGGACGGUACUGACGCUGAGACGCGAAAGCGUGGGGAGCGAACAGG